GGGUCACAUCACGUUGAAAUGCCAGUUCCCGUACGAUCAUCGAAGUUAAGCAACGUCGAACCUAGACAGUAUUCAGAUGGUUGACCGCUUGGAAAUAUCAGGUGCUGUAAU